rnacentral:rRNA from 1 species
UUUGUAGAAUGAACCGGCGAGUUACGAUUUGAUGCAAGGUUAAGCAGUAAAUGUGGAGCCGUAGCGAAAGCGAGUCUGAAUAGGGCGUUUAGUAUUUGGUCGUAGACCCGAAACCAGGUGAUCUACCCUUGGUCAGGUUGAAGUUCAGGUAACACUGAAUGGAGGACCGAACCGACUUACGUUGAAAAGUGAGCGGAUGAACUGAGGGUAGCGGAGAAAUUCCAAUCGAACCUGGAGAUAGCUGGUUCUCUCCGAAAUAGCUGUAGGGCUAGCCUCAAGUGAUGAUUAUUGGAGGUAGAGCACUGUUUGGACGAGGGGCCCCUCUCGGGUUACCGAAUUCAGACAAACUCCGAAUGCCAAUUAAUUUAAC